rnacentral:tRNA from 1 species
GCGCCCCUAGCUCAACUGGCUAGAGCAGCAGACUCUUAAUCUGCGGGUUCCGGGUUCGAGUCCCGGGGGCGUACCA